UACGUAGGGGGCAAGCGUUGUCCGGAAUCAUUGGGCGUAAAGCGCGUGUAGGCGGCUUGUUAAGUCAAAGGUGAAAUCCCUCGGCUCAACUGAGGAACUGCCUUUGAAACUAGCGAGCUUGAGGCCGGGAGGGGGUAGCGGAAUUCCCAGUGUAGCGGUGAAAUGCGUAGAUACUGGGAGGAACACCAGUGGCGAAGGCGGCUACCUGGACCGGUACUGACGCUGAGGCGCGAAAGCGUGGGUAGCAAACAGG
rnacentral:rRNA from 1 species